ensembl:lncRNA
AUGCCUUCCCGCGCCGGAGCCGAGGGGGUUAAGCCCUGCCGGCAGCCGCGGUGGCGGUUAAUGAUUGAUAGCACCACGGGCUCCGGAGGAAAUCGUCCAGCGCGGCCGCGGGGAAGCCGGCGGCUCGGCGAGCGGCGCGGAGCCAGGGCACCCGUGGCGGCACCGGUGAGCGGGGUCUCGUCGUCCGCCGCGGUGGGGGGACGCGGGAGCCGCCAUAAAUCUGGCCGGCAGUGGCAGUGGCAGGGCAGGGAAGGCGCCGGCAGGCAGGAUGCUGCCAGGUUUAUUGGCUGCGGUGUUUCAAGCAGGUGCCGAGGCCUCGUCUCGCAGGGAUUUCCCCAGUGCAGCUCCCUUAAUCCGCCGCUCCCAGCCUGUCCUGGCUGCAGAGGGGCUUCUGGUCCAGGUCGUGUUGCCAUCUUGCACAGGCGGUUGCUUAAGACAGGUAUUUCUGCACGCUGGGAAUGGCUUGUUAAAGAGCUUAGGGGGAGGUUUAAAUCCUCCAGGUCUGGAUCUGGCUUGCAGCGCUCAGCAUCCGGUACCGGGUCACCUUUGGCGGAGGUGUCGCAGCUGCUCCGGCAGCGCUUCGGCCCCUCUGGGGACGGACACGGCGGCUGCGUUUCGGCCUGGCGCCGGGUCCCAGCGGCCGUGGGGCUGAGCCGGGGCUGGGGGCUCUGUCCCCGUGGUGGCCCCGGUGCCCAGCGCGUGUUUGCAUCGGUCCGCGCCACUGAUCUCUCCCCCGCCGCUCGCCUGGGUGGCCGGGGCCGCUCCCGGGGCGGCCGGCAGGGAUGCUCGGCCGGAGGCGCCGCAGGAGCAUGGCCCCGGCUGCACUAUCCCGUGCCACGGCGUGCACCGUGCCUCGCGCCCCGGCCCUGCGGCCGGACGGCAGAGCGGCCGGCAAGGAGCCACGCCAGGCCUGCGCUCCAGGGAUGCCCUUUGCCUCUCUCCCCUCUGGAGCCCCUCCGGAUGCGGAGCCGGAGCUGCGAUGGAGCCGGGGUUGCCAGGGAGAUAAAACAUCAACACCCAGUGCUUUUUUCCCAGCUCGGCUCCUUUUCCAUCCGUCUGGGAGCCGGGAGGGGGCCGGCUCAUCCCUGCCGCUGGGCGAUGUGCGUCUGCCAGGAGCCGCUUUGUUCUCUGGAAAUCCCCUGGCUUCCCAGAUGCUCCCGGCCGGUUCGUGCGGGCAGACAGAGGGGGCUUCUCCGUCCUCCCAGCUCCGGCUGCCCUGCCCUGGGCACGGCAGGGCCGCGGGGGAGCCCGGCCGGGGGAUGCAACGUCCCCGCCAGCAGCCGCCUGGCCACCGUCGCUCCUCCUGCAAACCCGGGCGCCCUGGGAAGCGGAGCCGGGGCGGCCCGGCGGGUGCGCGGGGGCUCUGCCCUCCUCCCGGGGGCUUUGCAGCCGGCCGCGCGAUCCGGCUCAGGCUUUGCGGCCUCCCUCCGCGCAGGGCUCCCGGAGGCGCUCGGAGGCUUUCAUGGGAGCGGGAGCGUGCAGGAGCCGCAGGUAAAGCCCGGCCUGGACGUCUCUGCGCGUGUCGGCGCGCGGCGCCUCUCCCCGAAACCUUUCCAAGCCGCGCGUCGCCCCGGAGCUGGGCCGGCUCCCGCCGACGGAGGCCGAUCGCCCCGGGCAGCUCUCGGUGGAGCCGGGCGCCGCUCGCCGCCUAGGUGCGAGCGGUGGAUGAUUAACCCGGGCGCUCCCUGCGCGGCACCGCGGCGGCAGCUGACGUGUGCACCUUGUCACCGGCGUGCGCUGGCCGCGUCCGUGCCGGUGCCCAGCUCGGAGCGGGAGGAGCCGGGCUUGUUUCCAUCAGCGCGGAGCGCCGCUCUCCCUCCCGGCCCCCGUUCCCGCAGCGGCCCGAUGAAUGCAGCGCCGGAAAUGCUUGCUCAGCCGGACGGCGGGGUUCGGAUUAGGAUAUGGAUUAGGUUACGGAGGAGGAACGGCUGCCGGUCCCCGCUGCGCUCGGAGACGUGCGUGCCGGGGUGGGAGCCGGCCAGCUGGCAGCGCGGCAGCCCUGGGCUGGAGGGAAACCUCCGCGGGCGGCUUCGCACCGAAGCCUGGUUUUCGAGUGCCCGCAAGGCACUUUCCUCCCAGCGGCUGAUCUCGCCGCAAAUCUGGCGGGCGCCAGGGUUUUCCCGGCCUGCCGGUCGGCUCUGA